rnacentral:rRNA from 1 species
GAACAUGGAAAUCGGUCCGUUCUUAAUUGAACAUAUCUGACAUUCAGUUGCCGGAUAUGGGAUCUUCGUCAUUUACUGUGAGCAAAAUAGAGUGUUCAAAGCAGGCUUAGGCCGUUGAAUACAUUAGCAUGGAAUAAUAAGAUAAGACCUUGGUCUAUUUUGUUGGUUUGCAUUCCAAGGUA